UGCUCCGGUGUCUUAGUGGUUAGAGCAUCUGCCUGUGAUGCAAGAGGUCAAGGGUUCAAACCCAGGCUGAGUGA